AACGAACGCUGGCGGCAUGCCUAACACAUGCAAGUCGAACGAGAUCUUCAGGUCUAGUGGCGCACGGGUGCGUAACGCGUGGGAAUCUGCCCUUUGGUUCGGAAUAACAGUUGGAAACGACUGCUAAUACCGGAUGAUGACGAAAGUCCAAAGAUUUAGCGACAGAGGAUGAGCCCGCGUAGGAUUAGCUAGUUGGUGUGGUAAAGGCGCACGAAGGCGACGAUCCUUAGCUGGUCUGAGAGGAUGAUCAGCCACACUGGGACUGAGACACGGCCCAGACUCCUACGGGAGGCAGCAGUGGGGAAUAUUGGACAAUGGGCGAAAGCCUGAUCCAGCAAUGCCGCGUGAGUGAUGAAGGCCUUAGGGUUGUAAAGCUCUUUUACCCGGGAUGAUAAUGACAGUACCGGGAGAAUAAGCUCCGGCUAACUCCGUGCCAGCCGCCGCAGUAA
rnacentral:rRNA from 1 species